AGAGUUUGAUCCUGGCUCAGGACUAACGCUGGCGGCAUGCAUCAUACAUGCAAGUCGAACGGGGAGAGAUUGGGCAACUGAUCUUUCUUAGUGGCGCACGGGUGAGUAACACGUAGGUAACCUACCCGGGAGAUUGGGAUAACAGCUCGAAAGGGUUGCUAAUACCAGGUGAGCCCACGGGCCGAGAGGCCGGUGGGAAAAAGAUGGCCUCUAUUUAUAAGCUAUCGCUUCCGGAUGGGCCUGCGGACUAUCAGCUAGUUGGUGGGGUAACGGCCUACCAAGGCAAUGACGGUUAGCCGGCUUGAGAGAGUGUAUGGCCACACUGGAACUGAGACACGGUCCAGACUCCUACGGGAGGCAGCAGUGAGGAAUAUUGCGCAAUGGGGGAAACCCUGACGCAGCGAUGCCGCGUGGGUGAAGAAGGCCUUCGGGUCGUAAAGCCCUGUCAAGCGGGAAGAAUAGUCGUAGGGCUAAUAUCCUUACGGCAUGACGGUACCGCUGAAGGAAGCACCGGCUAACUCCGUGCCAGCAGCCGCGGUAAGACGGAGGGUGCGAGCGUUAUUCGGAAUUAUUGGGCGUAAAGGGUGUGCAGGCGGCCGGUCAAGUCAGAUGUGAAAGCCCAGGGCUUAACCCUGGAAGUGCAUUUGAAACUGGUUGGCUUGAGUUCGGGAGAGGAAAGCGGAAUUCCGGGUGUAGAGGUGAAAUUCGUAGAUAUCCGGAGGAACACCGGUGGCGAAGGCGGCUUUCUGGACCGAAACUGACGCUGAGACACGAAAGCGUGGGGAGCAAACAGGAUUAGAUACCCUGGUAGUCC
rnacentral:rRNA from 1 species